UACGUAGGGUGCGAGCGUUAAUCGGAAUUACUGGGCGUAAAGCGUGCGCAGGCGGUUCGUUGUGUCGGCGGUGAAAGCCCCGGGCUUAACCUGGGAAUGGCCGUUGAAACUGGCGAACUGGAGUGUGGCAGGAGGGGGGUGGAAUUCCGCGUGUAGCAGUGAAAUGCGUAGAGAUGCGGAGGAACACCGAUGGCGAAGGCAGCCCCCUGGGCUGACACUGACGCUCAGGCACGAAAGCGUGGGGAGCAAACAGG
rnacentral:rRNA from 1 species